rnacentral:rRNA from 1 species
CGAUACCCGUCAGUGGGACAUCAUAGAGGGUGACAAUCCCGUCUUUGGUGCUGAUGUUCGAGUCCUUUACGAUGCCUAUCUCAGAGAGUCGAGUAGUUUGGGAUUUGCUGCUUGAACAUGGGAGGUAGACACCUUCUAAAGCUAAAUAUUGGCAAGAGACCGAUAGUGGACAAGUACCGCAAGGGAAAGAUGAAAUAGCACUCUGUAAAGGGAGUCAAAAGGCGUGAAAUUGUUGCGAGAGAAGCGAUUCAAGUCAGCUUGACUAGGCCCAUGAUGACAUCUGUCCUCUGGACUAGUCUCGCCAGCGGUCUCAUCUUUAUUACGGUUUGACUAAAGGUGCGGUAUAUCCUCAACGCACGGCUGGUGGAAUGGCUUGCAAUCGACCCGUCUUGAAACACGGACCAAGGAGUCUAACAUGCAUGCAAGUAUAAGGGUGACAAACCCGUAUGCGCAAUGAAAGUGACUUUCAGUGAUUGUUGUGUGGCUUGACGACCAGACAGGAAAUAUCAUGUCCCUCGGAUGGCCACUGCCCAAGUUCUGUGGUACGAACCCAUGAACAUGGAGACGGAGCAUGCAUGCUAGACCCGAAAGAUGGUGAACUAUGCCUGGACAGAGCGAAGCCAAAGAAAACUCUGGUGGAGGCUCGUAGCGAUUCUGACGUGCAAAUCGAUCGUCUGAUCUGGGUAUAGGGGCGAAAGACUAAUC